rnacentral:rRNA from 1 species
AGCUCCAAUAGCAUAUAUUAAAGUUGUUGCGGUUAAAAAGCUCGUAGUUGACCUUCAGUUCUGGACUGACGGUGCACCGCCCGGUGUCCACCCGUCACGCUCCGAACGGAUGAUAUACCCGGCCGGCCGUCACGGGGUGCUCUUCACCGAGUGUCCCGCGUGGCCGGCAUGUUUACUUUGAAAAAAUUAGAGUGCUCAAAGCAGGCUACGUGAAUGGCCUGAAUGGUGAUGCAUGGAAUAAUGGAAUAGGACCUCGGUUCUAUUUUAUUGGUUUUCUGAACCCGAGGUAAUGACUAAUAGAAACAGGCGGGGGCAUUCGUACUGCGACGCUAGAGGUGAAAUUCUUGGACCGUCGCAAGACGAACUACUGCGAAAGCAUUUGCCAAGGAUGUUUUCA